UACGGGGGGGGCAAGCGUUGUUCGGAAUUACUGGGCGUAAAGGGCUCGUAGGUGGCCAACUAAGUCAGACGUGAAAUCCCUCAGCUUAACUGGGAACGAGCGUCUGAUACUGGAUGGCUUGAGUUUGGGAGAGGGAUGCGGAAUUCCAGGUGUAGCGGUGAAAUGCGUAGAUAUCUGGAGGAACACCGGUGGCGAAGGCGGCAUCCUGGACCAACACUGACGCUGAGUGAGCGAAAGCCAGGGGAGCAAACGGG
rnacentral:rRNA from 1 species